rnacentral:rRNA from 1 species
AUUGAACGCUGGCGGAAUGCUUUACACAUGCAAGUCGAACGGCAGCACGGACUUCGGUCUGGUGGCGAGUGGCGAACGGGUGAGUAAUGUAUCGGAACGUGCCCAGUCGUGGGGGAUAACGUAGUGAAAAUUACGCUAAUACCGCAUACGAUCUAUGGAUGAAAGCGGGGGAUCGCAAGACCUCGCGCGAUUGGAGCGGCCGAUAUCAGAUUAGGGAGUUGGUGGGGUAAAGGCCCACCAAGCCAACGAUCUGUAGCUGGUCUGAGAGGACGACCAGCCACACUGGAACUGAGACACGGUCCAGACUCCUACGGGAGGCAGCAGUGGGGAAUUUUGGACAAUGGGCGAAAGCCUGAUCCAGCCAUUCCGCGUGCAGGACGAAGGCCCUCGGGUUGUAAACUGCUUUUGUACAGAACGAAAAGGUUUCUACUAAUACUAGGAGCUCAUGACGGUACUGUAAGAAUAAGCACCGGCUAACUACGUGCCAGCCGCCGCUGUAA